GCCAAGAUAGCUCAGUUGGUAGAGCAUCCCCAUGGUAAGGGGAAGGUCUCGGGUCCGAUUCCCGAUCUUGGCU
rnacentral:tRNA from 1 species